rnacentral:rRNA from 1 species
GCGGUAUGCUUAACACAUGCAAGUCGAACGGUAGCAGGCCUUCGGGCGCUGACGAGUGGCGGACGGGUGAGUAAUGCAUAGGAAUCUGCCUAUUAGUGGGGGAUAACGUGGGGAAACUCACGCUAAUACCGCAUACGACCUACGGGUGAAAGCUGGGGACCUUCGGGCCUGGCGCUAAUAGAUGAGCCUAUGUUGGAUUAGCUAGUUGGUAGGGUAAAGGCCUACCAAGGCGACGAUCCAUAGCUGGUCUGAGAGGAUGAUCAGCCACACUGGGACUGAGACACGGCCCAGACUCCUACGGGAGGCAGCAGUGGGGAAUAUUGGACAAUGGGCGAAAGCCUGAUCCAGCAAUACCGCGUGUGUGAAGAAGGCCUGAGGGUUGUAAAGCACUUUCAAUGGGAAGGAAUACCUACCGGUUAAUACCCGGUAGACUGACAUUACCCAUACAAGAAGCACCGGCUAACUCCGUGCCA